UAAAUGUUCCGAAAUCAGCUGACUAGACAAAUAUACAGUUGUAAAGAAAUUGUCAAACGUCAAACAAAAAAGAAUUACAGCAGAAACAAACUAAAAAAGAACAAAUUCCGAAGAUUCAACAAUUAAUCAGCAAAUAGGUAUUUUAUUUCCACUCGAAACAAAAUUAUGUUAAAAUGUUCAUGAGCUUCGAAACAAACAACGUGAAACCUACAGCCGCCCUCAAAAGCGAACAACAUCAAAAGUCUAAACAACAAAAAGCUACAUAGAGGCCGAUCCGGCUUUGCAGUUAGACGAAUUGAUUUUCGAAAAGCUUGCACUUACAGGCAAUCUCUUGAAAAAGCAAUAGAUUUCUCUACAACUCGUGUGCGGAAAGCAAAAUCGUUCAAAGUCCUUCAGAAAUCCUAUGGAGUUAGAACAAUUUUGAUUUCCGCAGACGAACUGUUAUCAAAAGAUCGCAUUACAACUCACUUCCUUGCAUUCGAGAUUUACGCUAGGAGGAAUAAAAUUCUUCUAAUCAGCGCCAAACAUCCACAACAUCAUUGAAGCAAAUCGUGAUUCAAUUUCGUGGAGAGCGCAGAGUUCCAUUUCACUUACCUUUCUGUACUCCAAUUGGAACGACAAGUAAAGUACUACAAGGCAACCAAAGAUUGGCGAUCAGUAAAUUGGACAACGUAGGAUCUUUCUUCAUUUACUAUUCUUAUUGGAAAGUAAGGUGUUUGUUCGAUCGGCCGAUCCAAUGUUCCAACUAUGUGACCAAAGCCAAAAGCCGUUUAAACACAAAACGAUCAGACAAGCUUUCUAAAUCAAAUCAAAUAUUUUUGAAAUUUCUAAUUAAAUGAUAAUUUCACUUUUUAUAAAUACAAAAUAACAUGUCAAUGCUACAAACACAGCUAUAGCUGCUGCAGAUCAAAUCAGCAACUUAAAUUGAUUGUUGUUUUCUUUGAUGUCUUGUGGGAUUACUUUGCGUUCUCUUGGUUUUCGUUUUCUCUUCUAAAA